UACGUAGGGUGCAAGCGUUAAUCGGAAUUACUGGGCGUAAAGCGUGCGCAGGCGGUUGUGCAAGACCGAUGUGAAAUCCCCGGGCUUAACCUGGGAAUGGCAUUGGUGACUGCACGGCUAGAGUGCGGCAGAGGAGACUGGAAUUCCUGGUGUAGCAGUGAAAUGCGUAGAUAUCAGGAGGAACACCGAUGGCGAAGGCAGGUCUCUGGGCUGACACUGACGCUCAUGCACGAAAGCGUGGGGAGCAAACAGG
rnacentral:rRNA from 1 species